CCUACGGGAGGCAGCAGUGAGGAAUAUUGGUCAAUGGACGAGAGUCUGAACCAGCCAAGUAGCGUGAAGGAUGACUGCCCUAUGGGUUGUAAACUUCUUUUAUAAAGGAAUAAAACGAGGCACGUGUGCCUUUUUGCAUGUAAUUUAUGAAUAAGGAACGGCUAAAUCCGUGCCAGCAGCCGCGGUAAUACGGAGGAUCCGAGCUUUGACCGGAUUUAUUGGGUUUAAAGGGAGCGGAGAUGGGUUGAUAAGGUAGUUGGGAAAGUUUGCGGCUCAACCGUACAAUUGCCAUUGAUACUGGCAGUCUUGAGUACAGUUGAGGUAGGCGGAAUGCGUGGUGUAGCGGUGAAAUGCUUAGAUAUCACGAAGAACCCCGAUUGCGAAGGCAGCUUACUAAACUGUGACUGACAUUGAUGCUCGAAAGUGUGGGUAUCAAACAGGAUUAGAUACCCCAGUAGUC
rnacentral:rRNA from 1 species